GGAAUAUUGGACAAUGGGUGAGAGCCUGAUCCAGCCAUCCCGCGUGAAGGACGACGGCCCUAUGGGUUGUAAACUUCUUUUGUAUAGGGAUAAACCUACUCUCGUGAGAGUAGCUGAAGGUACUAUACGAAUAAGCACCGGCUAACUCCGUGCCAGCAGCCACGGUAAUACGGAGGGUGCAAGCGUUAUCCGGAUUUAUUGGGUUUAAAGGGUCCGUAGGCUGAUUUGUAAGUCAGUGGUGAAAUCUCACAGCUUAACUGUGAAACUGCCAUUGAUACUGCAAGUCUUGAGUGUUGUUGAAGUAGCUGGAAUAAGUAGUGUAGCGGUGAAAUGCAUAGAUAUUACUUAGAACACCAAUUGCGAAGGCAGGUUACUAAGCAACAACUGACGCUGAUGGGCGAAAGCGUGGGGAGCGAACAGGAUUAGAUACCCGAG
rnacentral:rRNA from 1 species